rnacentral:rRNA from 1 species
UACGUAGGGACCAAGCGUUGUCCGGAAUCAUUGGGCGUAAAGAGCGUGUAGGCGGCUUGUUAAGUCUUGCGUGAAAUCUCGGGGCUCAACCCCGAGCGGUCGUGAGAAACUGGCAGGCUAGAGUGCGGGAGAGGAGAGUGGAAUUCCUGGUGUAACGGUGAAAUGCGCAGAUAUCAGGAAGAACACCCGUGGCGAAGGCGGCUCUCUGGAACGCAACUGACGCUGAGACGCGAAAGCGUGGGGAGCAAACAGG